GAUGAACGCUGGCGGCGUGCCUAAUACAUGCAAGUCGAGCGAACAGAUAAGGAGCUUGCUCCUUUGACGUUAGCGGCGGACGGGUGAGUAACACGUGGGUAACCUACCUAUAAGACUGGAAUAACUCCGGGAAACCGGGGCUAAUGCCGGAUAACAUUUAGAACCGCAUGGUUCUAAAGUGAAAGAUGGUUUUGCUAUCACUUAUAGAUGGACCCGCGCCGUAUUAGCUAGUUGGUAAGGUAACGGCUUACCAAGGCAACGAUACGUAGCCGACCUGAGAGGGUGAACGGCCACACUGGAACUGAGACACGGUCCAGACUCCUACGGGAGGCAGCAGUAGGGAAUCUUCCGCAAUGGGCGAAAGCCUGACGGAGCAACGCCGCGUGAGUGAUGAAGGUCUUCGGAUCGUAAAACUCUGUUAUUAGGGAAGAACAAAUGUGUAAGUAACUGUGCACGUCUUGACGGUACCUAAUCAGAAAGCCACGGCUAACUACGUG
rnacentral:rRNA from 1 species